UAUAUAUAAGUUGACCAUUCCUGUUUUCUGUUUUCUUCUACUAGCGUACAUGCAAUAUGUUAAUUUCGGUUGGAGCUUAACGGGUUCUGAAUUUCAGUUUUGCUCGGUGUUGUUUUACAAAUUCUGAUCAGACGAAAUAAAGUUUUACUACAAAAUGCAACAAAGUUCAUUGAUAUUGCAUAGUUCAUGAAGAUAUGUCGGAGUAGGGAAGUUGAUGGAUCAUGCAACUUUAGUUUGAACUACUUCGAUUGCAAUGGUGCAUGUGCUAUGGUUAACGAUUAAAUUUAUACGUGAGAUGAUGCUUUGCAAUGGACCUCGAACUUGCAUUCCCCUUGGUGCGCGCAAUCGCGCGCUUUCAUACGACUCUCUUUGACUGGCAACAACUACAACAACAAUAUCCCCGAGCUACCUAUGUACGCUGAAUUCAGUUGUCACCUAUUGGGAAGAUAGAUAAUGAAGAGAACAAGUUGGCCUGAUUGUUGAUAUAUGCUUGUUUGCCUUCGACGUUGCACAAGAGAUGACCAAUUAAUCAACAAACUAGAAUGAUCCACACUGCCUAUGUAGUCGCUCCAAAAAAUUAUUUUACUUAAUUAACAGCGUUUUUGCUGCCUCUGAGCUUAACAUUCUUAUAUGUGAAAACUCCAAGUAAGCUCAGAAUUAUAUGUAGCUGAUGUUUUAGGAUAAAUUGACACAUAAGAAGCGACCAAUGAAUGAAAAUACUAGAAAACAUGUAAGGCAUAUGCUGUUUUGAAAUACAAAUAUAGAUUUAAAAAAUUAAAUCAUAACAGCGA